rnacentral:rRNA from 1 species
UACGAAGGGGGCUAGCGUUGCUCGGAAUUACUGGGCGUAAAGGGCGCGUAGGCGGUGCGGUAAGUCACCUGUGAAAUCUCCUGGCUCAACUGGGAGCUUGCAGGCGAAACUGCCGUGCUGGAGUGUGGGAGAGGUGCGUGGAAUUCCUGGUGUAGCGGUGAAAUGCGUAGAUAUCAGGAGGAACACCUGUGGCGAAAGCGGCGCACUGGACCACAACUGACGCUGAGGCGCGAAAGCUAGGGCAGCAAACAGG